AGGACGAACGCUGGCGGCGUGCUUAACACAUGCAAGUCGAGCGGAAAGGCCCUUCGGGGUACUCGAGCGGCGAACGGGUGAGUAACACGUGAGUAACCUGCCCCUAGCUCUGGGAUAGCUCCGGGAAACCGGGAUUAAUACCAGAUACGACCACUUUAGACAUCUGUCGUGGUGGAAAGGAUUCCGGCUAGGGAUGGGCUCGCGGCCUAUCAGCUUGUUGGUGGGGUAACGGCCUACCAAGGCGACGACGGUAGCCGGCCUGAGAGGGCGACCGGCCACACUGGGACUGAGACACGGCCCAGACUCCUACGGGAGGCAGCAGUGGGGAAUAUUGCGCAAUGGGCGAAAGCCUGACGCAGCGACGCCGCGUGGGGGAUGAAGGCCUUCGGGUUGUAAACCCCCUUCAGCAGGGACGAAGCGAAAGUGACGGUACCUGCAGAAGAAGCGCCGGCUAACUACGCGCCAGCAGCCGC
rnacentral:rRNA from 1 species